ACUGUCACUUUCGUGUACGCCAGUAUAAUACUCUUUAUCUAUGUUUUCGUGGUAGAUCUGCUGUCAAAAGUUUGUUUGCUUAAUUCUUGAUAAAUACGUCUAGAAUCUAGUUAUUGUGGUGUCCUGUAUUGAGGAAAUCAUGCCCUCGUGUUGUCUAAAACAGUGUGGUGCAAGAAAAAACCAAAAUCAGCCUGAAUUGACCCUUCACAGAUUUCCUGUAAAUGAAAUUCUGAACAGGAAAUGGAUAGAAAUUAUUGGCAUCGAAAAUAUAAACCCCCUGACAUCAAUUAUGCUCUAUGUACUUAGAAGCAUGACUCCUUCAAUAAAACUCUCGAUGUGACAAGAUAAUAUGACGGCGCAAUACCUUCCAUGCUGCCUAGGCAAAUCACACACUCACAACAACCCAGUAUGAUGGUCAGGACACAAGCUGUUUUAAGUGAAGUAUAAAUUAAAUCAGAGCUGGCCUGUUCAAUGGAGUUGAACUUGUCAAAUUAUAAUUUGACCAAAAAUGUACCAUAUGCAAAGAUUCGACACCCAAAUGAAAAAGUGAAGUUUCUUACAAAAAAAAUGUGAUUUGCUGAAACGGAAAGUGACAAGUUUAAAUGAAAAGAUCCGGAGACGGGAUGGAAAGAUUGCUCUCUUAUCUAAUAUUUUCAAACACCUUCAGAAAGAUAGAUUCAUUAACAAUGAAGAAACGCUCAUUUUGGAGAAAUGUGCAGGACCAGAAGAUUUUUUGAAAAUGCAAAUAGCUAAAUCUAUGGGUUUACCUACAGAAAAAAAAUAUUCAGAAGAAAUAAGAAAAUUUUGCUUUGACACUUCAUUUUUUUUCUCCGAAAACAUAUAAGUUUAUAAGGAGUACCUACAACACAUGUUUGC